rnacentral:lncRNA from 1 species
CUAGACAAAAGUGUGCACUGGAUGUGUACCUCUAGAGUCCCAAUCAUCGGGCCCCCUUGACCGGUUCUUCCCUUUCCAAUGGCGGGUAGCUGCAAAUAUGAAAGUCAAUAAGACCAAGCCAAUCAGCCAACCGAGACAAACCAAACGCAAACUUACGAAGAAAAAAACUGGAGUAGCGUUUACCCGUCCAUUUCCUAGCACAAGGAAAAGACCGAGUCAUCAAUCCCCCAUACUAAAAAAAAUAUAAGGAGCGGUAGCGGCCUUCCUAGAAAGAAAAAGAGAGCUCUCGAGUCAACUCCUAGGCACAGAAAAAAGUGUGAAAUGGAGAAGAACAGCACCAUGAAUGGACAAACAGCGUUCUUGUUGCCUUUUCGCGGCCAC